rnacentral:lncRNA from 1 species
CCGCACGGCUGCGGGAGGCUGUGCAGCCCGCGACCUGCCGUGGGGCCUGGAGGCCGGCCCCGGAGUUGGGGGGACACGUUUUUGGGGCAGCGGGACUCGGCGUUCCGGAGCGGGGGCGUGAACUUGCAGCGCGCUCCUCAAACUUGUGCGGCCUGCGUGCCCCGCGGGGCCCCGGAGCCGUGCGGAGCUUGCAGGAUGCCCCCCGGCCGGAGUCCCGACGGGUGCUGACGUCGCCGGCCUCUGCGGCUCGGACCCAAGGCCAUCCAUCACACUUCUGGAUGAGGCCUCGGAGGAGGAGAGCUCAGCAGCCCCCUGAAGAAGCAGAGCAAGUACCUUUCCCAAACUGUCGCAUCUUCCCAAGUUUGUCUAUACCAUUACCUCUGAUAUACAAUUGUGUAUGAUACAUAUAUACUCUGUACAGCAGACCUAAAAACAUAAAAGGCAUCUAAUUCAUACUUGUCAGUUGAGUUAAGGAAUGGAGGAAAUUAGAGAAGUCAGUUAAAUAAGCUCAAGAAUCUGGAAAAAGAAGUUUGCUUUAUAACUAACAGAGAUGGAGUAAGUUGAUAAAUACUCUAGUUAAACUUCACAAGCAACAAAACA